AAAAGCCCACAAUUUUCCUCCCAAAAACCCUACCUUCACUGACCCCAUCGUAUAUAAAUAAGACGACGAAGCUGCAAGUCUUAACAGAUCUUCCCAAUGAAUCCUUCUCCUCCGUAGCCUAGGCGUUCUCCGCCGUAAGAGUAACCGCCGCCGCGGGCCAAUGGCACUCUCUUUAACUACGGUGAUACACUUGUUUUUUUGACUUGUUUAUUUAUAAUUUGAAAGCUUCUUUAUCUGGUUGGCAAGAAAUUAUCCAUUUUUGACCAACUCGUUCCCUAGAAGCUAUAGUGUGUGUGUUGCUCCUUUUUAUAUUUCUCCUUCAUUAACCCCUUUUUUCUUAAUUUGUGUUUGGAGUUCACUGGGGCAGCUACAAUUAUUUUUUAAACAGUUUUUUUGAUAGGGGUGAACAACAGUGAUGAGCUAUUUAUACAGACACAGACCUGUAAUGAUUUGCGAAAAUGAUCGCAAUUUAUGAACAUCUAAGGGACUGAGUUUGUUCACCUCUUUCUAAUUUUAUCUCUUGAUUAUACUGCCGUUUAAGAUUAGAUAUAAUUUAAUUUUUUAAUAAAUGAGAAUUUGUGGAUUAACGAUGAUGAGCUAUUUAUACAGACACAGACCUGUAAUGAUUUGCGAAAAUGAUCGCAAUUUAUGAACAUCUAAGGGACUGAGUUUGUUCACCUCUUUCUAAUUUUAUCUCUUGAUUAUACUGCCGUUUAAGAUUAGAUAUAAUUUAAUUUUUUAAUAAAUGAGAAUUUGUGGAUUAACGAUGAUGAGCUAUUUAUACAGACACAGACCUGUAAUGAUUUGCGAAAAUGAUCGCAAUUUAUGAACAUCUAAGGGACUGAGUUUUUCCACUCAAUUCCAAAAAUUUGUGGCUUUUACUAUGCUUUGCUUAUCUAAUUAUUUAUUGGGCCACACAUUGUUGUGUGGUUCUUUAACAAGUGAAGCUAAAAAGAAUGUUCCUCUCGCUAUCCUUUGCUUCAUUUAUGGUGUAUUUGGACGUUGGGGUACUACAUUCUUUAUGUUUAUUAAUCUGUUUUGUUCCUAUUAUUUCACUGCAUAUUGAAUUGACUGUAGUUGUAUGUUUUGGCUCUUUAUGCUUCGCUAUCUGGUUGGCAAAAUUCAGUUGUUUUUGAUCUACUCGUUCCCUUGAAGCAACAGUGAUCGUGAUGCUCUGUAUUUAUAUCUCUCUCCAUGCUUCCUUUUGUAUUGCGGUUGGACAACACUGGGUCAUCUAUAUUUUAUAAUACAAUUGUAUUUGUAGAACACUGCAAUAUUUUGGUAUCAUCAUUUUCCCUGCAGGAAGAUAAUUCUGCUGUGUGGAAGGAAGGUAUAUAUAUGGGAUGUUGUAAAUGUUGCGAUUUUAUUUAAACUAUGCUUUGCUUGACUAUUUAUGUAUUGGGACGCACAUUGUUGUGCGAUACUUUUUCAAGUCAAGCUAGAGAGAAUGUUCCUCUAAUCUAAUGUCAGAUUAUAGUUUUAUCUUUUUUGGCUGUAAUGCUUCGCUAUCUGGUUGGCUUAAUUCACAACAAUUUGCUUAUAGAAAUAAAUUAGUAUUCCUUUCCUAUACAGAGAGACCUUUUUUUCAAGUUACACCAUAAAAGAAAUUUAUUAGCUUUCUUUUAUUUCAGAUCGAUGUAUGUCUAUUAAGAGUAACGGAAAUGAAUUGCUUUAUCUUUGAAUAAUUCUUUCGAAACAAACAAAGGAAAGGUAUUCCCGUUACUCUUAAAGUGUUUUUUUGUAUUCCUAAGUUCCACAUUUCUAUUAUAUUAGAUUCUAAUUGACUAGUAUUAUGAUGCUUUGCUUAAUUUAUUUUUUGGUCACACUGCUGUGGCAUUGUUACUAGCAAAGCUAGAAAUAUUACCUCUCUUCAUCAGGCCUGAGGUCUUUUGCUCAUGGCUGUAUGCAUUGGAUAUAUAACAUAUUAAAAUAUGAAAAUCGAGUGAAAUUUUAGUUUUAUGACUGCUAAUUAUUUAAAUCAACGGUUAUGGCGGGAUGGAGGUUAUAAUUUAUUUAGUCGGUUCUAGAGGAAUGAUCAUUGUAUAGUGGUGAUUAUAGUCUUUGGCCCUCGUGUAGAUGCCUUGGCCAAUGGUGGAAGAUGUGGUACAUGAAAGUUAACAUUUUUUAAUGUUAUAAAUG
rnacentral:lncRNA from 1 species